CACCCGGUAGCACAUGGUGUGCAUCUGCUGUUCUCAUGGGAUAUUGUAGAGCGUGUACGCAGAACGCCCCCGUUCGACUCGGGGUCGGGUGA